AAGGCCUUCGGGUUGUAAACCGCUUUCAGCAGGGAAGAAGCGAAAGUGACGGUACCUGCAGAAGAAGCACCGGCUAACUAUGUGCCAGCAGCCGCGGUAAUACAUAGGGUGCAAGCGUUGUCCGGAAUUAUUGGGCGUAAAGAGCUCGUAGGUGGUUCGUCACGUCGGAUGUGAAACUCUGGGGCUUAACCCCAGACCUGCAUUCGAUACGGGCGAGCUUGAGUAUGGUAGGGGAGUCUGGAAUUCCUGGUGUAGCGGUGGAAUGCGCAGAUAUCAGGAGGAACACCAAUGGCGAAGGCAGGACUCUGGGCCAUUACUGACACUGAGGAGCGAAAGCGUGGGGAGCGAACAGGAUUAGAUACCCUGGUAGUCCACGCCGUAAACGGUGGGCACUAGUUGUGGGGACCUUCCACGGUCUCUGCGACGCAGCUAACGCAUUAAGUGCCCCGCCUGGGGAGUACGAUCGCAAGAUUAAAACUCAAA
rnacentral:rRNA from 1 species